GACGAACGCUGGCGGCGUGCUUAACACAUGCAAGUCGAACGAGAAUCACUGGAAGGAGUUUUCGGACAACGGAAGGUGAGGACAGUGGCGGACGGGUGAGUAACGCGUGAGGAACCUGCCUUUCAGAGGGGGACAACAGUUGGAAACGACUGCUAAUACCGCAUGACACAUAGAGACCGCAUGGUUUUUAUGUCAAAGAUUUAUCGCUGAAAGAUGGCCUCGCGUCUGAUUAGCUGGUUGGUGAGGUAACGGCCCACCAAGGCGACGAUCAGUAGCCGGACUGAGAGGUUGACCGGCCACAUUGGGACUGAGAUACGGCCCAGACUCCUACGGGAGGCAGCAGUGGGGAAUAUUGGGCAAUGGGCGCAAGCCUGACCCAGCAACGCCGCGUGAAGGAAGAAGGCUUUCGGGUUGUAAACUUCUUUUGUCGGGGACGAGUAGAAGACGGUACCUGGCGAAUAAGCCACGGCUAACUACGUG
rnacentral:rRNA from 1 species